rnacentral:tRNA from 1 species
GCCUUCGUGGUGUAAUGGUUAAGCAUACUCGAAUCGUAUUUUAGAGGUCCGUGGUUCGAGUUUCGGCGAGGGCA